GACGAACGCUGGCGGCGUGCCUAAUACAUGCAAGUCGAACGAAGCGGCGGAUGGGCGAGUAAAGCGUGGGUAACCUGGCCCUAAGUCUGGGAUACCAUUUGGAACCAGAUGCUAAUACCGGAUACUACAGGAUGGAGUUGCGAUGCAUUAGCGAGAUGGUAAGGUAACGGCUUACCAAGGCGAUGAUGCAUAGCCGGGUUGAGAGACUGAUCGUCCACAUUGGGACUGAGACACGGCCCAAACUCCGACGGGAGGCAGCAGUAGGGAAUCUUCCACAAUGGAGGAAAGUCUGAUGGAGCAACGCCGCGUGAGUGAAGAAGGUUUUCGGAUCGUAAAGCUCUGUUGUUGGUGAAGCGGUAAUCAACCAGAAAGUCACGGCUAACUACGUGCCAGCAGCCGCGGUAAUAC
rnacentral:rRNA from 1 species